GUAAACACUGUCCUUUCCAGUAUCAAAAGUCAGCCUUGCCUCCUGAAGAGAGCCAUCUCUGGAGAUGCUAACUCAGCUUGGACCUGACAUCUAAUGUUCUACCACACCCCAAUAGCAUCAUACUGGACACCAAGCUUUACUUAGCAUAUGGACCAUUGGGGGCCGUUUGACAUCCCCAGUGCAGCACUGAAACACAAUAGAGAAGUGGAGAAAGGAUCAAACUUGGAAAAUGAACUGAAGGAGAAAAAAAAGAUAAGAAAAACUAUAAUGGACCACUCACAAGUGAGUCUUCACUGAGGUUGUCUGAUGUUCAAACACCAGCGUGUUUAAUGCUUGCCUCCCUACAUAGGUGCUGAUGAAGGUGCACUCACUGUCUUUCGACUGUUAUUAUUGCUGGACUUUCAACGUAAGUUUUCAAGAGCUUCUGUGAUGGUGGAUGUUCAUGGCUCUUUUGAUUUUACUUGGUGUGAUCUAGGAGAUACAGCCUGGAGGCUUCGAUGAGAAUGUUUCCAGAAAGAACUGAGAGAAGAAGGGAAGAUCCGCCAUGUGUGUGAGGGGUAACAUAUCACACACUGGGGUCACAGACAGAGAGAAACAGUGAAAAGUCUACUUGAGCAAUGGCAUUCCUUUCUUCUGCAGGCAUUGGCACAAAUGGCCUUCUGCCCCCAGGAACAGGAUCUGGCCCCAUCACCAAGUCUCUUCUGCCAUUCUGGAUUGAAUCCCUUGAUACCCUGAGAGGUCAAAUAGACCUCGCUUCCCAUAAGUUGCUUCUCCUCAGGUGUUUUGUCAGAGCCAGGAGAAGGGUAGCUAACUAUAAACACUCAUGCUCACAGCACUCCCUUGAGUCUCAAUUUUUGCAGCCACCUCAAAUGCAUUUCUUUUUUCCUCACAAUUGGAGAUGGUGCUAUGGUCCUCUGAUCUGUUCUUGUCCCACAGGCCUCUGUGCAGUCUAAUGUUCUGUAGUCAGUGGCUCUGUUUUAUCUUUCAACUUGUGUUUUGUGGGUAAAGACUGAUCAGACAAAGAGCCCAGGGACAGAGGAGGCUGGGCAUGUCAUAGGGCUGUGGCUGCUGGCAGGUGCACACACAGGGGCAGUACACACUAGGCACUCAGCCUGGUGGGCAAAUUCAUGCUAUAGGGAAAUCUGUGGGGUAAAGUGAAACACAAGGAAAGGAAGUCCUUUAGGACAGGCAAAAAUAUUUUGAGACGGAUUAUAACAGCACAGAAAAUGGCUCAGAACAUGGGCAAAUGGUCUUACAUGAAAUUCAAAGCUUUCUGUACCACAAAAGAAACUAUUAAUAGAAUGGACAGAUAGCCUAAUAAAUAGGGGGAAAUCUUUGCUAGGUAUACCUCAGAUAGGAAGUUAAUAUCUAGAAUAUAGAUAGGGUUUCAAACUUAAAUACCAAGAUGUAAAUCCAAAUGGCCAACUAAUAAAUGGGCCAAUGGAAUGAACAGACAGUUCUUUAAAAAAAAGAGAGAGAAAAUAAAGGAAGGAUGAAAGAAUGAAAUACAAAUGCUCAAUAAAAAUUUUAAAAUGCUCACCAUUCCUGAACUUUACAGAAAGGCAAAUUAAAACUAUUUUAAGAUUUUUUACCUCUCCCUGGUCAGAAAGGCCAUCAUUGAGAAGACAAAUAGCAAAUGAGGUUGUAGGGGAAAGAAAAACCCAGUUUCCUGUUGGUAGAACUAUCAUCUGGGACAGCCACUAUGGAAAUCAGUGUAGAGGCCUUGCAAAAACCAAUUAAAAAUAGGACUACCAUAAGACACAGCUAUGCCACUCCUGGGCAUGUACCCAAAGGACUCUGUAUUUUACCACAGAGACACUACACAGUCAUGUUCAUUGUUUCUCUUUUCAAGGCAAAAGCAGAAUUAGCUGAGAAGCCCAGCAUCUGCAGAAUGGAGACUGAAAGCAUGGAAUUUAUAGGAAAAUAUACAGAAGUUAAAAAAAAUGAUAUUAAAGGAGCCAGCCAUGCUUGGAAAGGCAAAUGCCAUGUGUCCUUUGUCAUACAUGGGUCCUGUCUUCUGUGUAUACUUACAUUGGUAUACUUAGGUUGGAGUAAAUGUGGGUACCUGCCAGGAGACUCAAAAGGUGGCCAUGAGAGGGGAGAAAAUAAGGAUUUAAUUAAGGAGACAGAACAAUAAGAGAUACAAGAUGCUAAAUUCAAAGUGGACGGGAUAAGGGUACAGUGUGUAUGUGUGUUAGGAAUUGGGGAGGAGUGAGUUUGUGUGUAGGAAUCAACCUGGGGCCUAUGUGAAAUGCCAUAUGAAAGUCUGCUACAUUGUAAGCUAAUUUAAAAAAAUAUAUAUGUAUUUAAUUUUUUGC
ensembl:lincRNA C820005J03Rik RIKEN cDNA C820005J03 gene